GACGAACCGUGCGAACGUUGUUCGGAAUCACUGGGCUUAAAGGGCGCGUAGGCGGCAUAGCAAGUCCGGGGUGAAAGCCCCCGGCUCAACCGGGGAAGUGCCUUGGAAACUGCUGUGCUCGAGGGAGGUAGGGGUCGAGGGAACUUCUGGUGGAGCGGUGAAAUGCGUUGAUAUCAGAAGGAACGCCGGUGGCGAAAGCGCACACCUGGCCCGAUACUGACGCUGAGGCGCGAAAGCUAGGGGAGCAAACGGG
rnacentral:rRNA from 1 species